GUCCAGCUGACGAGUCCCAAAUAGGACGAAAUACGAAUCCUGAAU
rfam:Schistosoma mattheei strain Denwood, Zambia genome assembly, scaffold: SMTD_contig0000649